UAUAUAGACUAUAAAGGUUAGACUUGAG
rnacentral:piRNA from 1 species